UACGUAGGGGGCGAGCGUUGUCCGGAGUUACUGGGCGUAAAGCGCACGCAGGCGGUCUGUUAAGUUUGGAGUGACAGUUGGUGGCUCAACCACCAAAGUGCUUUGAAAAUUGAUAGACUUGAGGGCUUCAGAGGGACACGGAAUUCCGGGUGGAGUGGUGAAAUGCGUAGAGAUCCGGAGGAACACCAAAGGCGAAGGCAGUGUCCUGGGGAGUACCUGACGCUCAGGUGCGAAAGCCAGGGGAGCGAACGGG
rnacentral:rRNA from 1 species